AAACUAAAAGUCUGUUUUUACAACACUUUUAUGUUGGCACUUUGUACUGAAAUGAUCUAUAAAUGUCAAACAUAAUGCACCAAAAAGCCCCAAAACUUUAAGAAAUGAGCUGUAAACAUCUUGAUAGUUUUCUCUUUUACUCUGUAGCCAUUAUAUACACUUAGCAAACAAGUACUAACUUAUUUUAGAAUAAUACUGGAACCAGGUUUGCUCCUGUCACUUAAACCAAUCAAAGCAUACUGAGUCUACUGACUCUGUACCUUCUUUACUUUGUUCUCAAUCAUUUUUACCAGUAAAAAGACAAUUUUGCAUUUUUUGCUUUUUGGUUUUGUUAUCAUCUGUGAACAAGCAAACUCAUAACAAAAAUCUGCAUUGUAAUACAGAUCACAAUAUUAGGAAUUAGAACUUCAUUCUUUCCUUUUGCUGCAUAAAACAAAAACACCAGGGAAACAACUACUUCAUUUUAUUGUAAUUAUUCUCAUUUAGUCAUAUAUUUUUUAUAAUUAUUCUGUGCAGAUGACGACGACGAUGAAGACAGUAUUUAUCACAAGGGCUCUGUGUGCUCAUAUUGUGAAUUCUGUGAGCACUGUGACAGCUGUGAUAAAUGUCCUUGUGAGGAGGGAGACACCUCCGAGCACUGUGAUGACUGCAAGAUGUGCAGUUUCUGCAAUGUGUGUCCUGUUUGCCAAACCGUUUGUAAGCCUGGAGGAUUUCUGGAUGAAGUGACUGGAUCGAUCUACAAGACUGUAGCUGACGUCUUUGAUGAAGAUGAUGAUGAUGUCAACUAAAUUUAACCAUAUGUUUCCACCAUGUGGACAAACUAAUAUACCAUACUUUCAUUGGUUAUGGUUAUUUGUGUUUUUUUUCUUCAUUAACACAUUUGCUCCCCGAUAACGUCAGAGAAAUUUUUAAAAUAAUAAUUUCACAUGUUUAUGUAUUGUUGCUACCUGACAAGUCUGAAAACUGAAAUCAUUAUUUAAAUAAAAAAGACGGGACAUUUUUAUUGAUUGAUUGAUUUUUAAAUGCUGACUGUUUUAAACACUCUUAUAAGUGAGCACUUGGCAACAGUUGGAACUUUUUAACAGGAAUAGACCUCUGGCAGAACCAGGCUUAGUUAGAAGCAGACGGGGGAAAGAAGAGAAGAAGAUCAGCAGAGAGAGACCACAAACAGCAGAUUUUUGUCAAGUAUAUGACCUGAAAAAACUGUCAUUGGCAACAACUUAAGGAUUAACUUGAUUCUAGCUUUAACAAGCUUUUUUUAAUUCUACAACUAUUCUUCAACUUCAAGUGAAAGACCAAAGAAGAUAUCAGGACAAGAUGUUGACUGUGCUGAAAUGGGAUGAAGGAACAUCAGCAAGCAUGAUGAGAACCUCACAAAACACCAGGGGCUGAGAGUAGAGCUAGAGAAGGUGUGGAAAUUAAGGGUAACAGUGGUCUCUGUGGGAACACUCAGAAGAGAUAUAGGUACAAAGUGAUUCAAAAAAUGCCAUUUUAUAGGGUUAGAAAUUUAUAGCAUUUUAACAGGCAACAUGGUAUGAUUUAUUGGUAUUAACAAUAAAAGUAUUGACAAUACAAGUAGUCAGUAACUACUGAAGAUGAUUGUGCUUUUUUCAUCUUUGCCUACCCCAGGACACAGGGUAUACUUGGACAGGUCACCAGCACAGAAAGACAAAACAAGGCUAACACAGUGAUCCGGACAACCAUUCACACUCACAUUUACUCCUAUGGGAGUAAAUGUGAGUGUGAAUCACCAGUUAAGCAAAAACCAAUAAUUGCAUGUCUUUGAACUGUGGGAGGAAGCCAGAGUGCUUGGAGGGAACAAUGCAAACGUAACACAGAAAGACCCUGGCCAGAUAGGGUCAAAAUAAGGACCUUCUUGCUGUGAGGUGCUAAUCACCACGCCACCUUGCUGCCAACAUAACUUUUAUUUCCCUUUUUCACUUGUACUUUGUUGGAAAAAAGUUUUUUGUAAAUUCUGCAUUUGCCUGUAAUGAACAUUUAAAUCCAGCAGGUAUCACUACUGGGUGACACACCAACAGUCAGUUGGUUCGAGCCAGCAGGGUUCACCUCCAAGCACAGUGAGUUACCUGCUGGAGCCUGAAACUGCAGCAAGGUGCAAAGCAGAUCUACUAUGCCUGAUGGCUUCUGUGUGUGCGCAUGGCUGUUAUGCAUGCGGGUUGUUGAAUUUACACACUAGGAAUUUAAUAGCACCUGUGAAAUGAAAUGAUUUGCUCGGGAUUAUGUUUUUUUCCCGCAGGUCUGGAUCAUCACCUCAAUGCCUGAACAGUAGGAGGGUCUGAAGUUUUUUAAUACCGGCUAAUGUCUUUGUGUUCUCAAUGAGCAUCAAUAAUAGAUAAUGUUGAUUUUUUUAGCUGCAACUUUAGUCCUUAAUUUUUUUUUUCUUUUGUCAUCAAACACUUUUACAACAUUUUUUUUUUAUCCUGUAAGCAUUAAUAUCCUAAGAAACCUCCUAAAACAGGACACCUAGACUUUACUUACUGACCUCGCAUAAAGUUUGUAUGUUUGAAUGCUGUUUUCAUAUUUAAUCUUUACUGUCAAAGCUUUAAAUUGCAGCUCAAAGAAUAAAAACUGUUGGGAGAAGGUUAUGUUCCGAGUUUAAAAUCAGCUGGAAGGACCAUGUUUUCCCUGAUUCUUUUAUUUACAACAUGUUUUAAGUGCAUUAUAGAUUCAAUGCUGGGAGAAUACAUUUUGUAUGUACAGCUUGUUAACCUUACAUAAACCACUGAAUGAAGCCUGUCGCAUCCCCUAAUAGCCUUGGAUGACACCCUACUCUCAGCCUUUGACCAAGUGAGUCUUGAUGCUCACACAGAGGAAACACACACCCAGUUGUUGGUGCCUAAAAGUCACCAGGAAAUGAUUUUCCAGGUGGCUCAUGGCAGGGCGAAUGGGACAUGACAAAACAUGGGCCAUGACAGGGUGGCUGUAGCUCAGGAGGUAGAGCAGGUCACCUACUGUUCGGAAGGUCGGUGGUUCGAUCCCUGGCUCCUCCAGUCUGCAUGCCAAGUAUCCUUGGGCAAGAUACUAACCCCAACUUGCUCUCCGAUGCAUCCAUCGGAGUAUGAAUGUUGUUAGAAAGCACUAAGUGUAGAUAAAGUGCUUGUGUGAAUGAGACAUGUUAUAUAGAGUGCUUUGAGUACUCCGUGAGAGUAGAAAAGCGCUAUAUAAGAAUCAGUCCAUUUACCAAAACUCUGGAAAGAACAAUGGCCCGAUUCUA
rnacentral:lncRNA from 1 species